rnacentral:rRNA from 1 species
AGAUCAUCAUUGGGCUUAAAGCGUGCGCAGGCGGUUUUGUAAGACAGAGGUGAAAUCCCCGGGCUCAACCUGGGAACUGCCUUUGUGACUGCAAGGCUGGAGUGCGGCAGAGGGGGAUGGAAUUCCGCGUGUAGCAGUGAAAUGCGUAGAUAUGCGGAGGAACACCGAUGGCGAAGGCAAUCCCCUGGGCCUGCACUGACGCUCAUGCACGAAAGCGUGGGGAGCAAACA